rnacentral:ncRNA from 1 species
UUGCCCUACCUUGCUGGGCUUUAACUGCAAGGGUGCCCCCGCGCGCGGAGUGGCCGCGCAUUUAGAAGUAAAAUCCAGGGGCGGGAAAGGAAG